rnacentral:rRNA from 1 species
AGCGAAAUGCGAUACCUGGUGUGAAUUGCAGAAUCCCGCGAACCAUCGAGUCUUUGAACGCAAGUUGCGCCCGAGGCCAUCCGGCCGAGGGCACGCCUGCCUGGGCGUCACG